GUGUCAGCAGCCGCGGUAAUACGAGAGGCCCGAGCGUUACUCGGAAUCACUGGGCUUAAAGGGUGCGUAGGCGGAGGUGUAGGCGUCCUGUGAAAUCCCACGGCUCAACCGUGGAAUUGCGGGGCGAACCACACUUCUUGAACCUGGUAGGGGCUGUCGGAACGAUCGGUGGAGCGGUGAAAUGCGUAGAUAUCGAUCGGAACGCCGAAGGUGUAGACGGGCAGCUGGGCCAGUGUUGACGCUGAGGCACGAAAGCGUGGGGAUCAAACAGGAUUAGAAACCCUGGUAGUCC
rnacentral:rRNA from 1 species